UGGUGGUGGUUCUUUUCAGCGGUUUCCAACCCCUCCUCCUAGUGGUGUACCACCACCACCUCAAACUCUUGCAGGUCACUUAUCGCCUCCCAUGUCUUUUCGCCCACAGCAACCAAUGGCUCCUGUUACAAUGGGACCUCCUCCACAGAGUAUGACUUCUGGAAUACCUGGAGGGUUUGCUUCUCCCUCUGGUCCUGGUUUUCAACAGUCCAUGCCUGGUGGUCCACAGCCAUCUUAUCCUGGUUAUCCCAGUAAUCAGGUCUUACGGGGUCCCCCAAAGCCGUUCCAGUCUCCAUCUCAGGGUCCUCCGUCUGCAGUCUCAUCGUAUCCUCCUCAGACAGGAGGUUUUGCUCAGCACCCAGGACAGCAGAACAUGCAUCCAAGCUAUGCUCCUCCUCCUACCAGUAACGUUCAAGGCUUGGUUGAAGAUUUCAAUUCGCUGUCCCUUUCAAAUAUUCCGGGGUCGCUUGAGCCAGGACUUGAUCAUACCUCGUUCCCAAGGCCAUUGGAUGGUGACGUGGAGCCGAGUUCGUUUGCUGAAGCGUACCCUAUGAAUUGCCAUUCUAGAUAUCUGCGGCUGACAACUAAUGCGAUUCCAAAUUCACAGUCUCUGGCGUCGAGGUGGCAUUUGCCUCUAGGAGCUGUUGUUUGUCCACUUGCUGAGGCUCCUGAAGGGGUUAGUAUUUGCCAAACUAAUAAUCAAGUCUUUUAAAUUCUUUCAUGUUUUGAUAAUCUGGAACUAUUCACCUACUAUAUAUGAGCAUAUAACUUUUCCCUUAUUUUGAAAAUUGUCGUUUUAUCUGUUCAGGAGGAAGUGCCAUUAAUUGAUUUUGGUUCAAGUGGCAUCAUCCGCUGCAGAAGAUGCCGUACCUAUGUGAAUCCUUAUGUUACUUUCACAGAUUCUGGAAGAAAGUGGCGGUGUAAUAUUUGUUCUAUGCUUAAUGAGGGUAAUUUUUCCGAAUCUCCAGGAUUAGUGUUGUUAACCAAUGUGAUAUAGAACGUUGUUGUUGAUUGAAUAUGCCUUGUCUAAUGGUCGUGCAGUUUCUUUCUCUCUGAUUUUUCUUAAUCGUUAGUUUUUCCCAGUUGUCUUUGUCUAAUCUGUCCUAGUAGAAUUAUCGUAAAUGGAUUUGGUGAAAGCUACAAGGAACUGUUUUUGGUGUUAUGUAUGCUUUUUUCUGUUGUUGUGGAAUGUCAUCCCUGUCAAUAUACCUGUACAUCUGAUAUGAACUUCUCCCAGUCACUGGAAUGUCCUUUCCAUAAACUAUUUGAGAGAUGGCUUUACGUCAGUACAUGCAGGCAUAUGUUUAUAAGAUGAAUAUUCAUGGUUAUGGGUCUAAUGUUUUGUUCAGUGCCUGGUGAAUACUUCUCACAUUUGGAUGCUACUGGCCGAAGAAUGGACUUGGAUCAAAGGCUUGAGCUGACAAAGGGCAGUGUUGAAAUUAUUGCUCCAACAGAAUACAUGGUUCGGCCUCCGAUGCCACCAAUUUACUUCUUCCUCAUUGAUGUAUCAUUUUCUGCUACUAAAAGUGGGAUGCUCGAGGUAAGCAUGUUGGAUUUUAAUAUUCCACCUUGUAAUUUGUUGUGCAAUACCUUAGUUAGUAAGAACCAAUCCAUGUCUGCUUUUAUCUGAAUACACUACGUAUCGAUGGAUCUUGACUAGAUUAGACAUGCUGUCCCCUGUAGAGGCAUGCUGUGAAACUUUGAUCUUAUGCUGACCCUUUUUUCUCCUUUGGCAGGUUGCUACUCAAACGAUUAAGUCUUGUUUAGAUAACCUUCCUGGUUAUCCCAGAACUCAAAUUGGAUUUAUUACUUACGACAGCACUUUACAUUUUUAUAACAUGAAGGUAACAUAAUUGUAAAUUCAGUGGAUUUUUUUGUUCUGAAAUACUCUAGCCUUAAUCGCGUAUUUUUAUUGGACCUGGGUAAUGCAGUCAUCUUUGAGUCAGCCGCAAAUGAUGGUCGUUUCUGAUUUAGAUGAUAUAUUUGUCCCAUUACCGGAUGAUCUCCUUGUCAAUCUGUCUGAGUCUAGAAAUGUAGUGGAAGCCUUUUUGGACAGUCUGCCUCUGAUGUUUCAAAAUAAUGUCAAUGUGGAAUCGGCUUUUGGUCCAGCCCUCAAAGCGGCGUACAUGGUUAUGGUUAGUUACUGUGCUGCCAUGUCAAAUGAAAAUCAAAUAAUUCAUUUGAUGUGAGAGUCCUAUAUGGAAGCUCAUCUGGAAUUUGUAUCAGUUUGUAGUUGACUCUGUUUUCUCUUUCUAUUUCAGAACCAACUUGGUGGCAAGUUGCUAAUUUUCCAGAACUCGUUACCUUCUCUUGGUGUUGGGCGGUUAAAGUUGCGCGGAGAUGAUCCUCGUGUCUAUGGAACUGACAAAGAAUAUACUUUAAGAGUAGCUGAAGACACCUUCUAUAAGCAAAUGGCUGCCGAUUCGUCUGCUUCGGCGCAGAUGAUUUCUCCUCUGCUUCUUCUUCUGAAUCAUCAUCAUUUUCGUCGUCUUCCUCGUCUGCUUCUGCAGCUUCCUGCGCCGCGACGGCUUCUCUCGCAGACAUCUGCCUUUCGUCCUCGAACUUAACCACCGGAUGACGGAGGAUCCUAUCGUCUUCGCCGUCACCGUGAUCUCUGACGGAAUCGUGGCGUGAGAACUGCGGCUUGAAGCUCCUCGACGGGGGUCCGUCUCCAGGGAUGCUUACGUCGGGGAGAUCGUCCGGGUUUUUACUCGACCCGACCCGCAUUGAAGAUCCGCGCGUGAACAUCCCGCGUCCUGAAGAGCCAGGUGGAUCCGACAUUGGGGAUUGCGUAGAAUAAACAGACGGAGUUUGAACGGAACGCUGCUCCGAGGUGUUUGGGAUUGGGGAUAAGGAUAUCCGAGGCGAGGAUAUGCAGACGAGGUCCAAGCAGAACCGGUUCGUUCAAUAACAACGGUCGAUAAAGGAGAAUACAGGUUAGCUCUUUCUACAAACUAUAAUGGAAAUGUACCUCUUGCAUCGAAUUAGAGAGUGUUGAAUAACGUUUUAGCUAUGGAUUGCUUAGACUGAAAAUUCUAAAAUUUUGAUCAUUUGUUAGUUUUUGUGUUUCUUUUGGUAAUUUGUUUAUCUUUUCUUUUAAAUUUUCUAUUAACUUUUUUCGUUUUUUUGUUCUUGCCUCCUUAAUUUGGAAGAAAUUUUUGUGGCUAUAAGUGUUUUUAAAAUGCAGAACCAGGGGUAUGGAGGAACGAGUCUUAAGGUGGAAGAAAAUGAUCUAAAUUAAGGAUGGUUCCACAAUUUUGUGACAAGAGCUAUCCACUUUCCUUAUUUAUUGAUGAUCAAUCUUUUUUUAUUACAAGGCUGACAAAUUACCAGGUUAGUGAAUUUUUGCAUGAAGAGACAAAAUGUACAUGGAUCUACUGAAAUGCUUUUUCUAUGAGACUUCCAACCUUUCAUCAUGAAAAUUUAACUAACAAAAAAAUUAACUAAUGUUAGCCUUUUAUAAAGGAGUCUUGGCCAUUUUACAUUAAAUUUAUCUAAUCAUGGUUCUGACGUGAUAAAAGAUAAUAUUCAUGCUUUAUCACCAACAAAUUGACAGUGGUUUGUUUUCCUAUCAAGUGAGUAAUCUACGAAUGAAUAGGUAGUAGUGACAAAGUUUUGUUUUCUUGAGAUAUAUUUGUAAUAGUAUAUUUGCAAUUACGAAAAUCAAAAGAGUCAAUAUGUCCGAGUGGUUAAGGAGACAGACUUGAAAUCUGUUGGGCUUCGCCCGCGCAGGUUCGAACCCUGCUGUUGACGAUAUUUUUGAAAUUUGUUUUUUAUUCAAUACAAACCAUAGUUGUAAACGACAAAACUAGCCUAAUCUUUUUGCAAUGAUAAGCCCAAUUCUUGGCCCAUUAUCAAUACCACAUCGUCUCCUUCGCCGCGCAAUGUUACGUGUCAAAUCUUCUUAGAGGUCACGAUCUGAAUCCGAUCGCUGCUGUAGAAUCAGUUUCGUGCUCCGCAGAUUCUCGAGCUUCCUCUCUCUCUGUCUCUCACUUGAGGUAGGUUAGGUAGUCUUCGCUCUGUAACCAUUUAUCAAAAUUGAUCUCAGUUUAGAAUUCUUUAAGCUCAUAUUCAACGGUGAUUGAUCCAGAUCUUCCCGAGCUCCAGAAGAAGGGAUCGGAGAGAAAGAGAGUUUCUACGUUUCUCGAUCUGAAUCAUAGUAAAAGAUCUCUUCUUGAGAAAGAGACGAAACGUCUUUUGCAGAAGUUGCCAGUUUUGAAUUUGAAGUUAAAACUACCGAUUCUUUGAUGAGGUCUAGGUAGAAUCUAGGAUUGUAAUUGAUCUGCUCCCUUUGCUUUGAGUGUUUACCUAUACCUUCAUCCAACAGUUAAGCAAUAAUGAAUACGGAGAAUCGGAAUUUUCCAGCUAGGCCUCCUCCUCCUCCGUUCUCCUCCUCUCCUUUCGCAUCUGCUCCGCCGCCAGGUGUUGUUCCACCUCAAUCCGGUGGACCAGAGGCGGUUGGCUUUAGACCACCUGCAAGGCCUUUCACACCUUCUGGUCCUCCUAUGGCUCCACCAGCGGGUGUGAUGAGGCCUGGCCAACCUCCUUUGGUUUCUCAGCUUCCAGGGAGUAGACCUCCACCGCCAUCAGCUUAUGGUCCUCCCGGUGGUGGUGGUUCUUUUCAGCGGUUUCCAACCCCUCCUCCUAGUGGUGUACCACCACCACCUCAAACUCUUGCAGGUCACUUAUCGCCUCCCAUGUCUUUUCGCCCACAGCAACCAAUGGCUCCUGUUACAAUGGGACCUCCUCCACAGAGUAUGACUUCUGGAAUACCUGGAGGGUUUGCUUCUCCCUCUGGUCCUGGUUUUCAACAGUCCAUGCCUGGUGGUCCACAGCCAUCUUAUCCUGGUUAUCCCAGUAAUCAGGUCUUACGGGGUCCCCCAAAGCCGUUCCAGUCUCCAUCUCAGGGUCCUCCGUCUGCA
rnacentral:lncRNA from 1 species